rnacentral:lncRNA from 1 species
AAGAAACGCCCAAAAAAUCCAAAUUACCAUAAUUUUCAAACCCUAACAAGAAAACACACUUCCACUAAAAACAUACACUACUCCGGCGACCCAAAAUAGGCUGCCAUUUGCGCCGCCGCCAGACCUCCGGCGCCCUGUUGUUGCCUCGCAAGGCAGCAGCUUGCUGCCAUUGCAGGCUGCUCCGAUCGGUUUUAUUUCUUG